GUGGACCACACUACAGGUUUCUUCUGCUACUGGACAAGGAGGGGCCGGUUUGAGUGAGGAAGCUCCUCAAUUAUUGCAGUUAUGUACCACUCCAGGGAGCCUCCAAAGCAAGACUGAUCACUCACAAACACAAGAGAUUCUGCAGAUCCCAAAACUCCCGAUGAAGUGUCUCAGCCCGAAACGUCCAGUUUACUCCUUUUCAUAGAUGUUGCCUAGUUGAGAUUCUGCAGCUGCUGGAAACACACAAAACGCCAGUGGGUCAGGCAGCAUCUGCAGGAAGGAAUAAAACAGUCGGUGUUUCAGGUCCAGACCCUCCAUCAGGACUGGAAAGGAAGGGGGGCAGACGCCAGAACUGGAAGGUGGGGAACAGACUCUGACCUGGAGUUACACGCUGGCUACGGUUCUUUAUGGGAAUGGGACCCAUUCUGGGGGUUCUCAGGGUUUGGCCUGAGAGUCCCGAUUGUGUUCGGAAGCCUAAGAUCUUGGGACUCUGGAGAUGAGCAGAUCGAGGGUCAGUGUCACAGCCGGAGACUCGCGUGUCAUCGGGGAGGCCAGAAAAUCAUUUGCUGUGGGCCUGAAGACCCAAGGUCUUCGCGAUCUUCGGACACAGAGCUUGAAAAAAGCGACAAAGUGGACUUUUAACAUCGUAAACCAGUGGGUUGUUGUUAUGUCUCCCACUCACUGUGAAAAUGAGGAACAACUUCUCCUCCCUUGCCAGGGAGAGAGAGAGCCUGUGGGUUGUCGAAUUCUGAUGAAAUGCGAAGCCUUUGGGGUAACUUUGGUCUGUGUCUUUGCUAUUGCUUAGCACACGCUUGGGCUCAGUGAUGGUACUGAUGCGCUUUUUUUUGCUGGUGGGGGAGGGGGAUCGUUGCUUGCUGCUGCUUAUACACAGGAGGGAGGAGCUGGGGGGGACUUUGGGGUUCUCACGUUUCACUGCCAUUCAUUCUUUGGGGCACUUCGCUGUUUUCAUGGAUGUUUGCGAAGAAAAAGCAUUUCAGGAUGUGUAUUGUAUAUAUUUCUCUGACAUUAAA